GCGAAUGGUGGAUGCCUUGACUGGUAAAGGCGAUGAAGGACGUACUAGACUGCGAUAAGCUACGGGGAGCUGUCAAGAAGCUUUGAUCCGUAGAUUUCCGAAUGGGGCAACCCAAUGUAUAGAGAUAUACAUUACCUAUAUAGGAGCGAACGAGGGGAAUUGAAACAUCUUAGUACCCUCAGGAAAAGAAAUCAAUAGAGAUUGCGUCAGUAGCGGCGAGCGAAAGCGCAAGAGGGCAAACCCAGUGCUUGCACUGGGGGUUGUAGGACUGCAAUGUGCAAGAGGUAAGUUUAGCAGAACAUUCUGGAAAGUAUAACCAUAGAGGGUGAUAGUCCCGUAUGCGAAAAACAAACCUUAGCUAGCAGUAUCCUGAGUAGGGCGGGACACGAGGAAUCCUGUCUGAAUCCGGGUCGACCACGAUCCAACCCUAAAUACUAAUACCAGAUCGAUAGUGCACAAGUACCGUGAGGGAAAGGUGAAAAGAACUGAGGUGAUCAGAGUGAAAUAGAACCUGAAACCAUUUGCUUACAAUCAUUCAGAGCCCUAUGUAGCAAUACAGGGUGAUGGACUGCCUUUUGCAUAAUGAGCCUGCGAGUUGUGGUGUCUGGCAAGGUUAAGCAAACGCGAAGCCGUAGCGAAAGCGAGUCUGAAUAGGGCGCUUAGUCAGAUGCUGCAGACCCGAAACGAAGUGAUCUAUCCAUGAGCAAGUUGAAGCUAGUGUAAGAACUAGUGGAGGACUGAACCCAUAGGCGUUGAAAAGCCCCGGGAUGACUUGUGGAUAGGGGUGAAAGGCCAAUCAAACUUCGUGAUAGCUGGUUCUCUCCGAAAUAUAUUUAGGUAUAGCGUUGUGUCGUAAUAUAAGGGGGUAGAGCACUGAAUGGGCUAGGGCAUACACCAAUGUACCAAACCCUAUCAAACUCCGAAUACCUUAUAUGUAAUCACAGCAGUCAGGCGGCGAGUGAUAAAAUCCGUCGUCAAGAGGGAAACAACCCAGACUACCAGCUAAGGUCCCUAAAUCUUACUUAAGUGGAAAACGAUGUGAAGUUACUUAAACAACCAGGAGGUUGGCUUAGAAGCAGCCAUCCUUUAAAGAAAGCGUAAUAGCUCACUGGUCUAGUGAUUUUGCGCGGAAAAUAUAACGGGGCUAAAGUAAGUACCGAAGCUGUAGACUUGCACACAACUUAGAUUAUUUAAGUUUAGAAUAUGAGAAACUAAGUUAUAUGUUUAGUUAUAUUUUUACUGAUUUUUAUAGAGUAAAGAUAGAAAUAAAACUUAGUAAAAUCAGUAAAAAUAUUCUUAGACUAAAGUUAAGUAGUUUAAGUUGUGUGCAAGUGGUAGGAGAGCGUUCUAUUUGCGUCGAAGGUAUACCGGUAAGGAGUGCUGGAGCGAAUAGAAGUGAGCAUGCAGGCAUGAGUAGCGAUAAUUAAUGUGAGAAUCAUUAACGCCGUAAACCCAAGGUUUCCUACGCGAUGCUCGUCAUCGUAGGGUUAGUCGGGUCCUAAGUCGAGUCCGAAAGGGGUAGACGAUGGCAAAUUGGUUAAUAUUCCAAUACCAACAUUAGUGUGCGAUGGAAGGACGCUUAGGGCUAAGGGGGCUAGCGGAUGGAAGUGCUAGUCUAAGGUCGUAGGAGGUUAUACAGGCAAAUCCGUAUAACAAUACUCCGAGAACUGAAAGGCUUUUUGAAGUCUUCGGAUGGAUAGAAGAACCCCUGAUGCCGUCGAGCCAAGAAAAGUUUCUAAGUUUAGCUAAUGUUGCCCGUACCGUAAACCGACACAGGUGGGUGGGAUGAGUAUUCUAAGGCGCGUGGAAGAACUCUCUUUAAGGAACUCUGCAAAAUAGCACCGUAUCUUCGGUAUAAGGUGUGGUUAGCUUUGUAUUAGGAUUUACUCCGAAAGCAAGGAAACUUACAACAAAGAGUCCCUCCCGACUGUUUACCAAAAACACAGCACUCUGCUAACUCGUAAGAGGAUGUAUAGGGUGUGACGCCUGCCCGGUGCUCGAAGGUUAAUUGAUGGGGUUAGCAUUAGCGAAGCUCUUGAUCGAAGCCCGAGUAAACGGCGGCCGUAACUAUAACGGUCCUAAGGUAGCGAAAUUCCUUGUCGGUUAAAUACCGACCUGCAUGAAUGGCGUAACGAGAUGGGAGCUGUCUCAAAGAGGGAUCCAGUGAAAUUGUAGUGGAGGUGAAAAUUCCUCCUACCCGCGGCAAGACGGAGAGACCCCGUGGACCUUUACUACAGCUUGACACUGCUACUUGGAUAAGAAUGUGCAGGAUAGGUGGGAGGCUUUGAGUAUAUGACGCCAGUUGUAUAUGAGCCAUUGUUGAGAUACCACUCUUUCUUAUUUGGGUAGCUAACCAGCUUGAGUUAUCCUCAAGUGGGACAAUGUCUGGUGGGUAGUUUGACUGGGGCGGUCGCCUCCCAAAUAAUAACGGAGGCUUACAAAGGUUGGCUCAGAACGGUUGGAAAUCGUUCGUAGAGUAUAAAGGUAUAAGCCAGCUUAACUGCAAGACAUACAAGUCAAGCAGAGACGAAAGUCGGUCUUAGUGAUCCGGUGGUUCUGUGUGGAAGGGCCAUCGCUCAAAGGAUAAAAGGUACCCCGGGGAUAACAGGCUGAUCUCCCCCAAGAGCUCACAUCGACGGGGAGGUUUGGCACCUCGAUGUCGGCUCAUCGCAUCCUGGGGCUGGAGCAGGUCCCAAGGGUAUGGCUGUUCGCCAUUUAAAGCGGUACGCGAGCUGGGUUCAGAACGUCGUGAGACAGUUCGGUCCCUAUCUGCCGUGGGCGUAAGAAGAUUGAAGAGAUUUGACCCUAGUACGAGAGGACCGGGUUGAACAAACCACUGGUGUAGCUGUUGUUCUGCCAAGAGCAUCGCAGCGUAGCUAAGUUUGGAAAGGAUAAACGCUGAAAGCAUCUAAGCGUGAAGCCAACUCUAAGAUGAAUCUUCUCUAAGCUCUCUAGAAGACUACUAGUUUGAUAGGCUGGGUGUGUAAUGGAUGAAAGUCCUUUAGCUGACCAGUACUAAUAGAGCGUUUGGCUUAUCUUU
rnacentral:rRNA from 1 species